CUGGAGAGGAGGGGUUGGCAGGGCUGGAGCCCCACAGAAAGACUCUCAUUUCACUGGAAGUACCACGUGCUUUAGGUUUCAUUUUAGUUUUUGGCCUUGUAGUCUUGGAGGCUGAAGAGGGUUUCCUGUAAGGUGCUGGGGUCAGAAGCUGGAGAGUGGGAAAGAGGAGGGAAACGUGUUGGCCCAACACCUGGUGGCCUCACCUUGUCACUUACUUACAGAUAAUCUAUUUUUGAUCAGGUUAGGUGUUGCUCAGAUUCCCAAACUAGAUCAUGGGGGAAAAUGUUUGCUGCAUAAAUGUAAUUCCCAAGGAAAGGUUUGUGUUGAACUGAUGUGUAUUUUACAUGACUUAGGUUAGAAACUCAGUUUCUCCUUUAGUUGUCACCUUUAAUAUGUUAUUAAUUUUAGCAAAAGAGAAGCAGGAGACUGUCUAUAGUAUUGUUUUCUGACUGAUAGUAGAUUUUACUGGGUAAAGCUUUUUACGCAUACGGGAAUCUUCAGUGUAUGGAUUGAAUUAAUUACCUUUGAAGUGCUGCUGCUUUUUUCUCAUGCAGCUCCAGGAUGACAGGCUUGAAAAGCAUAAGUAGGAUUUCCAUGCCAGGUCCCCACUGAUUUCUGCUCCUCCCAUAGGAUCCGUGUCUGACAUUACUAGUUUAUUAGUCUGCUUAUUAGCAAAACCAAAAGAAACUAAGCAAACAACUAGAACAGGAACAGAUCCACAGA